GAUGAACGCUGGCGGCGUGCCUAACACAUGCAAGUCGAACGGAGUCCAGCCUUUAAGACCUUCGGGUCAAAGAGGGGAAGACUGAGUGGCGGACGGGUGAGUAACACGUGGGCAACCUGGCUCAUAGAGGGGGAUAACAGAGAGAAAUUUCUGCUAAUACCGCAUAAGCACACACUGCCGCAUGGCAGAGGGUGAAAAGAGAAUCGCUAUGAGAUGGACCCGCGUCUGAUUAGCCAGUUGGCAGGGUAAGAGCCUACCAAAGCGACGAUCAGUAGCCGAGCUGAGAGGAUGACCGGCCACAUUGGGACUGAGACACGGCCCAAACUCCUACGGGAGGCAGCAGUGGGGGAUAUUGCACAAUGGGGGGAACCCUGAUGCAGCGACGCCGCGUGAGUGAAGAAGUAUUUCGGUAUGUAAAGCUCUAUCAGCAGGGAAGAUAAUGACAGUACCUGAAUAAGAAGCCCCGGCUAACUACGUG
rnacentral:rRNA from 1 species